rnacentral:rRNA from 1 species
UACGUAGGGUGCAAGCGUUAAUCGGAAUUACUGGGCGUAAAGCGUGCGCAGGCGGUUUUGUAAGUCUGUCGUGAAAUCCCCGGGCUCAACCUGGGAAUUGCGAUGGAGACUGCAAGGCUAGAAUCUGGCAGAGGGGGGUAGAAUUCCACGUGUAGCAGUGAAAUGCGUAGAGAUGUGGAGGAACACCGAUGGCGAAGGCAGCCCCUGGGUCAAGAUUGA